rnacentral:snoRNA from 1 species
AAACUAUGAUGCUUAUUGAAUUUCUUCACCUGAAAGUUCAUGAAGAUCAAAACUCGAGCUUUUUAACACUGAGUCUA